CCAGCCUCCUGGCGCUUUGUAUGGUGGCUGGAAGUGCUUGACAAAUCAUAGCACCAUCAAAUUUAUACAGUCGUCCCUAGGUGUCUGCAGGCCAUUGGUUGCAGAAUCCCUCUCUGAUACCAAAAUCCACUCAUUUCUCAGCCCUGAAGUCGGCCCUGUGAAACCUGUGGACACAAAAAGUUGGCCCUCCUUAUACACAAGUCCCGCAUCCCAAAUUUGAUUGUGGAUGCAGAACCCACAGAAACAGAGGGCCGACUGUAUUUAUUGAAAAAAAUCCACAUAUAAGUGAACCAGCACAACUCAAAUCCAUGUUGUUCAAAGGUCAACUGUAGGCCGGGCGCAGUGGCCCACGCCUGUAAUCACCACACUUUGGGAGGCUGAGGCAGGCCGAUCAACGGAGCAAGACUCUGUCUCAAAAAAAAAAAAAAGAAAA
ensembl:lncRNA novel transcript